rnacentral:rRNA from 1 species
AUACGUGGGGGGCAAGCGUUAUCCGGAAUUAUUGGGCGUAAAGGGUGCGUAGGCGGUCUAUUAAGUCUGAGGUGUAAGUGCAGGGCUCAACCCUGUGAUGCUUUAGAAACUGGUAGACUUGAGUGAGAUAGAGGCAAGUGGAAUUCCAUGUGUAGCGGUAAAAUGCGUAAAUAUAUGGAGGAACACCAGUGGCGAAGGCGGCUUGCUGGAUCUAUACUGACGCUGAGGCACGAAAGCGUGGGGAGCAAACAGGAUUAGAUACCCUGGUAGUCCACGCCGUAAACGAUGAGUACUAAGUGUUGCGAGAACGCAGUGCUGAAGUUAACAUAUUAAGUACUCCGCCUGAGUAGUACGUACGCAAGUAUGAAACUCAAAUGAAUUGACGGGG